rnacentral:rRNA from 1 species
UACGUAGGGAGCAAGCGUUGUUCGGAUUUACUGGGCGUAAAGGGCGCGUAGGCGGCAAAUUAAGUCAGCUGUGAAAUCUCCGAGCUUAACUCGGAACGGUCAGCUGAUACUGAUCUGCUAGAGUGCGGAAGGGGCAAUCGGAAUUCUUGGUGUAGCGGUGAAAUGCGCAGAUAUCAGGAAGAACACCCGUGGCGAAGGCGGCUCUCUGGAACGCAACUGACGCUGAGACGCGAAAGCGUGGGGAGCAAACAGG